rnacentral:rRNA from 1 species
ACAGAGGGGGCAAGCGUUGUUCGGAAUUACUGGGCGUAAAGGGCGCGUAGGCGGCCUCUUAAGUCGGACGUGAAAUCCCUCGGCUCAACCGGGGAACUGCGUCCGAUACUGGGGGGCUGGAGUUCGGGAGAGGGAUGUGGAAUUCCAGGUGUAGCGGUGAAAUGCGUAGAUAUCUGGAGGAACACCGGUGGCGAAGGCGGCAUCCUGGACCGACACUGACGCUGAGGCGCGAAAGCCAGGGGAGCAAACGG